UUGAACGCUGGCGGCAGGCCUAACACAUGCAAGUCGAGCGCGAAAGUUCUUCGGAAUGAGUAAAGCGGCGGACGGGUGAGUAACGCGUGGGAAUCUGCCUAGUAGCGGGGGACAACAGCCGGAAACGGCUGCUAAUACCGCAUACGCCCUACGGGGGAAAGGAGGGGAUCUUCGGACCUCUCGCUAUUAGAUGAGCCCGCGUCGGAUUAGCUAGUUGGUAGGGUAAAGGCCUACCAAGGCUACGAUCCGUAACUGGUCUGAGAGGAUGAUCAGUCACACUGGAACUGAGACACGGUCCAGACUCCUACGGGAGGCAGCAGUGGGGAAUAUUGGACAAUGGGGGCAACCCUGAUCCAGCCAUGCCGCGUGUGUGAAGAAGGCCUUAGGGUUGUAAAGCACUUUCAGUGGGGAGAAAGGUUUGUCACCUAAUACGUGAUGAAAUUGAUGUUACCCACAGAAGAAGCACCGGCUAACUCCGUGCCAGCCGCCGCGGUAA
rnacentral:rRNA from 1 species